rnacentral:lncRNA from 1 species
UGAGCUACGGUGGCACACGGUGGGCGACGACUAGGGCACUCUCGUAAUUCUAUCCCUUUUGCCUCCCCCUUUUUUCUUUUUUUCUUUUUCCUAAUUUAUUUACUCAUUUCCAUUAAAACAAAAUAAAUAAUAAAUAAAAUAAAAAAUAAAAAAUUAGGUGUUUCCUUUUCUUAGAUGUUGAUGUGAUGUAUCUCCCUCACGGCUUUUGUGUGUCCUGUUGUGCAAUAAAAUUAAAAAUAAAACCCCCAAAAAAAAAAAAAAAAAGUAGAGCUAGAGAGAGAAUGAGAGUGGAGUUUUUACUUUUUAGAGAGAGAAGGUGGAGGGUUUAGAGAGAGAGAGAGAGGGACAGGAUUUUACAAUGGGAGGAAAAAAAGGGGCAAGUGACAAACAGCGGGGAGGAGUUUAUGAGUUGUAAAGGCUCCACGUGCGGCACGUGUGGAGGAACCCGAGAUCUGGGCGAUUUAUCGCGAUAAAUUGAAGAGGAAAUAGACAAAGUGACGGUGAUUGAUUCUUUCUUUGCAUUUUUGGAACGCCUUCACUUUUACGUGCAUUAAAAGACAAGGAAAGUCUUGGGUGUGAGUGCUCACUGCUCACGCCCCUUCCCCUUGGACCACCACACCCCCACCCCAUCAUCCUACAAAUUUUAAUCAUCCCAUAAUGUAGCAGUGACGCACCAUCGUUGUUAAUUAUUUUACCUAUCUUACGUAACGUCAAAAGGAUAUUUGAUAAAAAUAAAAAAAAAAUUAAAAAAAAAAAGUCCAAGGGACAUGAAAGAUCAUGGUAAAGGUUUUUCCAUACAAGAAGGCCAAGUAACCGUUGGCAAUACCUUUUGAUUUUCAGCAACGGUGGGCUCUUCAGAGUAAAGCUUUUAUACUGACUUUAUACCUAACACAGCACAUUCCAGCCCUUUACUUGACCUUUUCAAACAGCUUACAUACAAAAUAUGCAAUUUUCUACACUGGGUUGUUCUACAAAGUCCGAAAAGGAUUGAGCAGCUGAUUUGCAUUCGGGUUGUUCUUUAGACCGAGACAGAUAGUAUUUUCCAAGGCAAAAAGGCUUUACUGUGAAGAGACGGUGACAAGUAUUUAAAUAGUAGGCAAGUGGGGUGGUUUUUGGAUGGCCUUUUUUCCAUUAAUAUUUUGUAUUGAAUGGAGGGUCUGUGUGUCUAUUCAUAAGUCGGUGAAUAAACCGUACCAUGGUGUGGUGAGUGGUCUCAUGCCUCAGUGACAUCAAUGCACUCUCUCAUGCCCCCUGCAGAGGUUAAUAACUGUACUGAAUCCGUCCAUAUCCACCAUCUGAUCUAUAUACUAUGGGUUUCCACUGAUUGGAUGGGAAUGGGGGGUGGGGGGUGGUCUAUUGUUGUUUUCAGUGGUCCUGACUCCACCUGAUGGUGUGGAGUGGGUACAUUGAUGGUAACAAACUAGGGAAGGGCAUUAUCAGUUUGAUUGAAACCAAUCACAUUUGUAGUCUGUGGUCUACCUGCCUUUUGGGGUAUGGACUCUCAUUGAAUCUGAUGAAGUAGUUGGAGACUUUAUGUCUAUUAUCUUAAUGGCACUAAUUAAUUGGCAUCUGGGGUUGGUAAAAUUGUAACUUUUUGGGGCAUGGCUGUAUGAUAGAAACCAUAGAAUCAUUGUGUGAUGGGGUGGUAACAUUUAUUUUAAUGUUUUUUGACAUGCAUUAAAGUAAAUUAGCAAAAAACAAUUCAUGGGUUUUUGAAUUCUCACCCGAUGAGAUAUUGGGCAUAUUCCCAUUUUUGUCCCAAUUAGAAUCCUCACAUUGGAUUACAGUUGUUUACAAAAAUCAGACUUAUUUUUGUUCUCAGAGGUAGAUUUUUCAACCACAUAUUUCUUCAAAUUGGGAAAAUCUAAAACAGAAUUAUAGCUCAUUUUUUUCCAAAAAUAAAAAAAUAAAAUAUCAUUAUUAUACAAAAACCAGUUUAGGAAUAAUCUAAGUUUUCAAAAAAACAAAUUAUUUUUGUAAACCUUUCCAAAUUAAUAACUAUUUUUUAAAAUAAUUAUAAAAAAUAGUUUUUGGAAACAAUUUUUUAAAACUGUUAUUAAAAUAUGUUUGAAAACUUAAAAUGUUUUUAACUUAUUUUUAAUCAUUUUAAAUAUUUAUAUAUUUAUUUUUUAAAAUACCUCUAAAAAAAAGGUAAAAAUAACUAAAGUGUAUUAUUUAAAAAUAUUGUAUUUUUUAUUUUUAAGAAUAAAAAAUAAAACAUAAUUUUUAAUUAUUAAACAAAUUUUUCAUAUUGUUAUUUUAAAGAAUAGAAAACUGUUUUAAAUAUCGAGGUUGUUGUGAUUGCAUGACUGCUUGGUUAAAUUGUGGCUGCUAAAUUUGCAAAUGAUCAUGAUUAAUAUCUUAAUCGUGUGUAGGAAGCUGUCGCCUGUACAAGAGGUGAGAGUGAGACAGUGAUGAAAAUACGAGUUUUAGUUUUGAUGAAUGACAAAUCCCUCCCAUUUUCAUCACUGCCCUUCACCUUUUUCUAUGCAAACACUUGGUCCAAUAGAAAAGGUGAAAUCAAUAAUAAAAGGGUUGAAAAAGCAAAAGCAGAAGGAGAUCAAUAAUUGCCAGCAAGGUGGAUUGGGCAUCAGAUCUCUUAUAUGCAACUCAACCUCUACUUCUCCAAUUGCCCCCCUCCUUUUCAAGGGCAUGGUCCUAUCACCUAUGUGGGUCACUCUCCCUUUACUUCCAUCAUGCCCAAAAUCCUUUCCCUCUAGGCUCUAUGAUGCCCAAUAACUUAAGUAGAAGUUCACCUUUAUUAUUUUUGGGCAUUAUUGGUACUAACUAUAUGUUGUAGUUACAAGCCAUUCUAUUUAUGGUAACAUUCUUUUUUAUCACCCUUCCAUCUUAAUCCAACUCAAAUUAACCUAUCAAUUAUUUUGUGGUUUCAUUUUAUCUUAUUUUUGAGAAAUCUAAAACUUAUUCUUACGUUUUAUGCAGAUUUUUAUAUCCGUUUAACUAAUCUUAUUUAAAUUAAUUUACGAUUUAAGUCAAAAUCCGAAACUAUCCCAAAUGAGACGUGAGUAUUAUUUUAUUAUUCUAUAUUACGGGAUAAUUAAUUUUGCGGGUUUUAAUAAAAUUUUAAAUUGUUUACAAAUGAAAUUUAGUUGAACGAAAGGCAUGUGAAGAGCAUCCUUGGAUGUUAAUAGUAUACAAAGAAGGAGUUGAUUGACUGCUAAUACCAAUGAUCUUAACUUGCCUUUUGCAUUGGGCGGUCGGCUGCCAUCAUUAACUAAUGAUCUAUGAUUGAGUAUAUUCCAAUACUGUACACGUGUCCUCCAUCCGCUGCACUUCUACAAAAGUGGACGGUUCUCAAGUACCCAGGAGCAAUUUUUUAAUUAGCACUCGCUUUACCAAAUCUGCCGCAUCUUUUCCCAAACACCAGGGUUUGGCUUCGUAAACAAGACUCAGCAACCAAAUUAAAAAUAAGUGAGUGAAACCCUGAAGUACGACGACACGUGGGAUCACAGCUGGAGUAGCAAUCAUGCCUUCCACUGGGUAGUGUGAUAUGCCACGUUGGCAAAAAGUGGGUGUCCCAGAAAACGUGUAAUGAUGGUGGAUUAUAUUGGAAAAGCAACUUUUCCACGUGGCAUGGCACGCCACGUCGAUAGCGUAGAGGGCUUUAUUACAACUGGAAGACAUCUGGCACGCGUUUUUGUUGUAAAUUGUCUGGCAGAAGUGGGCCACGUGGUGCCAGAGUAGGUCCACAGACAGCUCAGCGACUGGGAUUGUCGGUCGCUUUCGCUAGCUGUAAAUCAUCAUAAGCGGAGAAGCGUCCGUAUGCGGAUGACGUCAUUAUUAGAAACGAUUUUAUAGAAAUGAAAGUAAUUUUUGUUGGGUGGUGGGUGAGAUUUUUGAAUGAAAGUUCGAGAAAGUAGGGAGGGAGAGAGAAAGGAAAAAAAAAGUUUAAAAAAAGGCGGGACAGCGUGGCGGGCAUUUUGUGGAGGAGGUGGUGUUUGGGGAGUAAUAGAAUAUGGGGCUGUUUGGCUAAUAGGAUAGGAGUUCGGCUACGUGUAUGGAUCUGAUUGGCUAAUCCUGACAGAGAAAAUUUUGCCUAGUGAGAGAUGAUCUCGGGAAAGCAAAUAUAUUUGUUCGAGAAAUAUUAAAUUUUUAAUUCAUUUGCAAUAAAUUCAAUAGCAUAUGAUAUGAAAUAUUUACAUUCCAUAAACAAAUUUUCCCUUAUUUUGAUUUAGAUUUUUUUUUUAAGGUAUGGUAUCGGUAUAUUAAUACUAGAUUUUCUCAUAUAGAAAUAGAAUAAUAUGAAUAACUAUGAUAUCCCUCAUAGUUUCAACGGGAAAGUUCUCAAAAUUGUUUUUUAAAACUGUGAUAAUUUUGGAUUAAAAGUAAAUAAUAUCUAUACGAUUGGAUGUGAGUUACGAUAUUAUAUUUUUAUUUUUUGAUACGUGGAUUAUACACACGUUUUAAAAUAGCAAAGCCAUAUAGUCGGUGUAUUAUUUAAUAUUUGGAUAUUUUAUAAUUGUUAAUAAUUUUAUAGUUUUCACAUACGUGUUCCCAAUUUUAAAUAUUAAAACUCGUUUUAGGAAAAAAAAAUUUAAUUUCUAUAUCACAAAUAAUAAAAAUUAAUUUAAUUUACCAUGUUUGAGUUUUUACAUAAGCCCGUCUAAUUCCAUUAAUUCAUUUGUUUGAAAUUUUAUUAAAUACAUUUUAUGUCAUUAUUUUCUUUAGUUAGUUUUAUCGCUCAAGAUACAUGAGUUAUUUUAUAAAAUUUUAACGGAUGAGGAUUAAAUGUAUUUAACAAAAUCUUGAAAAUAAAUGAAUGAAAUUAAUCAUAAAUAAUAAUGCCUCCCUUUUCCAUACAUUUUUUUAGAAAAUCACUUAAUUAAAAAAAUACAUCUAUAUUAAUUAUCAAAUAAUCUUUAAUGUAAAAGUGAAUUUAGGUGAGAUUACUCAAUAUAAAUGUUUAUAGUAUGAUAUACAUAUUUGAACUCAAAUCCUAUAAAUUUUAAGUUUUUCGAAAAAUUGAUAAUUCAAUAUGAUAUCAGAGUUUUGUAUGAUAUGAGAUUGUAAACUCAAGCCCCUUCUCCACAAUUUGUAUGUUCGCUUCCCAGUCUAUUCCUCCUCUCCCCCCUACCUAAUUUGCAAUUCCGUGGUAUAACUCAACUCAGAGAUAAUGGAGAAAAUCUAUCACUACUGUGGCUAUUCAUAUUCAUCAGUCCAAUAUAACUCCAAAAGAGGUCAUUUUCAAUGUCUAUAUAAUACCAUGUUGCAUGUAGAUAUGAAGAUGAAUUGGUAACUGCUAGAAUCCAAUGUGUUGCAAAUUGCACUUCAAUUAUUGUUUCUGGAUUUGCUAAUUGCAAAGCUGUCUUCAUUUAUUUGAUGCUUAUCAUUAUUUUUUAACCUAUUGGUAAAAUAUAGGUGGCAAAUUUGUUAGGACGGUGGAAUUUGUACAUUAUGAUUUGAUUAUUAAUGUAAAAUAAGAUUUUUGGGUUGUCUUCUACUAUGGUCAAAAAUCUUGAUUAGUUAUUUUGCAUAUCAAUUUUUUCAACUUAAGUCGUAAAUGAAAUUAUGAAUAUGAAAACCAUUUUUUUUUUUACAGCAAAAGAACUUUGACCUUCAUUUUAACGAAGAAAAAAAAAACUAAGAGAAAUGUUUUUCUAUUGUCUUAUGGAGAGAGAUAAAAAAAAUAAGAAAAAACAUGGUUUUUUUUUUUUUUUUGGUCUUUAGAGAGAUUUUUUCACAGAAAAAGAAAAAGAAAAACUUUUCUUUUAAUAGUAUCAUGCUCUUUGAAAGUUUUAAACUUCAAAACACAGCUCCCUCGUUUUUUCAUUUUCUUAUUUAUUGGGUUAAAUCAGGUCAACCCAUUUGGGUGCCUAAUCCUAACUCCAACCGUUAUCAUAAAUAAGUGUUUCAAUUAUUCAUUUAUCAUUAAUUUACUUUUCUAACGAAUGAUAAAACUUCUUUAAACUUUCAAUAACCUGACUAAAAUGGCAUCGGACAACUUACAUUUAAUCUAUAUCAUGGAACGGUUUCGUACAAAAAUUACUUGGCAUUAAUGCUUAAUCACAUUGGAGGGCUAACCUAUUUUGUUUGAUACAUUGGACACACUUCAAUUAUUUAUACAGGCAAAUAAAACAAAAUUGUUCAUAAUUUUAUUCCUACUUGCAAAAAUGAGACAACCAAGUAGCCCUUAAAAUACUAACAAGCAUAAUUUGUAGAUUCUUAAGAAUGUAGGAGGCAUACUGAAUAUUGAAUACAUCUUUCAUAUUUUCAAUCAAUUGACUACCUUGUCUUAUAUCCAUAUCUCACAUUCAUAGGGUGGAUUAGAUUUAGUCCACUGAAAAUGAUGAUCACAAAAGUUUAUUAAAACAAAUGUGAGAUUGUGAUGUGAUUGAUACAAUUAUUUUUAUUAAAAAAAAGGGUCAAUUGUAUGAUUCAAAACAUCCAUACAUAUAUUUAAUUAAUUAAUUAUUAUUAUUUAUAAUUCAUGACCUCGAUUUUCCACUAAAGGAGUGGGUGGAAUUCUUGACAACCACUAAAAUAUGUGGGCAAGUUGUACUUUUUAUAUUUAUUUAUUAUUGUUAUUCAUUUUGUCAAUCCUUGAAUUGAUUAAGUCUAUGUUAUGGGAAAGUGCCAAUUUCUCUCUCCACGUGCAUAGCAUAUGACUAAUUUAUUAAAUUAGUGAAGCUUGAGAUCAACCUGCAGCUGCAUAAGGUAGGGAGAUUACAACUUUUGGUUCGAGGAAAUCAAGGAAACCUUUGAAGGAUUGAUAGAAAAGGGUUUGGUAUUAAUCAUUUGUGUAGCUUCUAUGCUUGAUGCUACUACUCCUAUUCAACCAUUAAUAUAUGGUUUUAAUUUUUUGUACUUAAAAUAGUAUUAAUUUGAGAAUGAAAGCUACUUUAUUGGUAUAAUUUGUAAGGAUUUGCGAUUAAUUUAAACAUAGCCGCUCGUAACCCACCAUAGAACCCUUUUUUAUUUUUUUUUCAAAUUCUUUAUUUGUGAAACUAUUUCAUUGAAAACAAGUUUUAUAAAAUUCAAUAUGGUUUUUGGGAUUUCUCAUCUGAUCGCUCCCGUUAAGCCAAGUUUGAGUAGGUGAUUAUGUUAUUAGAAUUCUUAGGUUUAGGACCGACAAGAGAUCCUCGUGAGUCAAGCUAAAAGCGGUAAGAUGUUAUUUAAAUUGACUUUUGAGAAUUAAAAAUUAUUUUUUAAAUUUAAUAAGAAUUUUUAUGUUUAUUUUGUUAUUUUUAUUUAAAACACUUAGUAGAAACUUAAUUUUAGGUUAUAAAAAAAGCCCUUCUAUAUUUGAUAAAAUCUUUAUAAUACCAAUACCAAAAUUUCAAAAUUAUCUUUUACCUUGUGAUGAAAGCCCAAAAAAAAAAAAGGAGUAAUGCCAUGUGAGGCAUAAGAGGCCUUAGCCCACACCCCACCAUUUACAAAGACAACAAAACCUUGGACCUGGGCCUCGGAGCACAGGCCCAAUGGGAGAAGAAUGGGUGGUCCUCUAUGAAUUUGUACGUUACAAUACUUCAUAUAUGGACUUGAAUGAUGUUCUUAAUUGCUGGAUUUUUUUAAAGAUAAAUGGGAUGGGAUAGUCUCAACAUCAUCAACUUCAAAUCAAUAUUUGUUGAUUCAUUUUCCUUUUUCAGCCUCUUGAAUCCCCAUGCACGUAACGGAUGUUGCUCUCACGAUUUCUCACUAUAUAUACAAACCACAGCAUACAUGCUUCCGCACUCGAUCGACAUGGCUCUGAUGCUGAAGCUCUUUCUUUUCACUCUUCUCUCUGCAUGGAGCCUGGGAUCCAUGGCUUCCGCACGGUACCUGGACAAGAGCUUCAGCCUUGCUGCUCGAUUACAUGCGGACGACGACUCAUCAUCCAAGUGCUGGGAGUCUUUGCUUGAGCUUCAGGCAUGCACUGGAGAGGUUGUCCUGUUCUUCCUCAAUGGUGAGACUCACCUUGGGGCCGGCUGUUGCCAAGCCAUUCAGACCAUUGAGCACCAAUGCUGGCCUGCCAUGCUUACUUCCAUUGGUUUCACUGCCGAGGAGGGCGACAUCCUCCAAGGUUACUGUGAUGCAACCACAUCCUCUUCGGCUCCCCCACCACCACCACCACCACCAUCCAUGGAGCCUAAUGACGUGGUUACCUUGGGUGGCUUUUUCCUCGAUCCUUAGUAGAACGCGUUCUUACUAGCAGUUAUGUCUUUUACAUAUAUCUGAUCCGCUAGUCUAAAUAUAUACAGAAAAGGGUGUUUGGAAUUAAUGAAUGAUUUCCUAUAUAUUGCCCCAUAUUUGUUGCAAUUAAAUUCCAUUUCUUGCUUGAAAAAAAGGUAUAAUAAUUUCCCAUCAUUGAUAGCACUAGUAGUUGUCUUUUAUGGGCUGGACGAGACACACAGAUCGACCCACAAUUCUGCUUACCCAGCCCAUGCUCAGUGGUUUGGACUAACAUAAUUGGAGGCCCAAAAGGGAUAUCAAUAAUAAGAUAAUGUUUGGAAGAUGAGUCUAUUUUUGUAUCUAGAUAAGACCAACUCAUCCCCCUCUAAUUAAUGGAGAGGUAACGGCGUGAAGGGCAAGAUUCUCAAGGACUCAAAAGCCUUUUUGCUUUGAUUUUCCAUCAAGGCAUCAGUGCCAUACACAUAAGUCCAUAAGGUAAUGAAUAAGGAGCGUCAAAUCAGGGUGGGAUGCGAAUAUGCGGAUUGAAAGCCAAGUAUUGAUUUUAGUGGUAUGAGGUGGGUCGUGUAUGGAUGGUGACAUCUAACUAUAAGUCUCUCAAAAGACUUCAAACUUCCCCCCAUCUCCGCCUUCUUUCAUGCUCUUUCCACUCUUCUUUUAACGUAGUAAUUUUUUUUCCCUUUGGGUAAUUAGGAUCUAAGCAUGGAAGAAGAGAAUAUUCGGAUGAGUGUUUCAAGAGUUCUUGGCUUUCUACACAUUGUUACUUCAUUUUCAAGCUGAGGAAUCAAUUGGUCAUUUGUUAUGUGCUUGUUUGUGAUCAUUGGGAAGCAGAUUUAGGGUUUUGAAAGGUCAAAUGCUAAUCAACAGAAGAAGAAAUUUACACCCCAUGCCAACAUAAAGAGAUAAUUGUGGUUAGGAUAGAUUUCAUAUAAUUAACUUCAACUAACUUCUCAUGACCUGCCAUUCCUAGUCAUCAUUCAGUUAGUUAUUUCCUUGCUAUGCCCAUGAUCGAUGCAUCGACCGUUUGCCACUUGUUUUCAUCCAAAAACCUGUCAUUUUCUCUCCGAUCUCGAUCCACUAGAAUGGAUCAAACUGGAUUCUUUCUUCCUCUGGAAUAAUGUAAAGCUAGACUAAAAUUUUAUACAUUCCUCUAUUGGUUGAUGGUUUAUUAAUGGUGAGAUAUCUUGUACAAAUUGAAUCAUCAAGGUCAUUGGAGUGGUGUCCUUGUUGACUAAUUAAUGGGUCCAUGUUUCAUGAUCAUAAGGCCAUCUUGCAUGAUUCAAAUAUACCCUAUUGAAAUGGUAUACAUACACAUGCACAUUGUUCAAAAACGCCCUAGAAAAAGGAAAGGAGGAUAAAAAGAAAUACAAGUCGUCCACUAGUGCCAUAUGUGGAAAAGUAGUGAGCAUACAGAUCUCAACUCCCCUAGAGAAAAUUGUCCUCGUAUGGAACCUCAACAAUGAAUUCUAGAGAAAGCUGUCAAGUGAUCACAGUCCAGAUGAAUCUUGAUUUAGAAGUUAGAAAAAUGAAGGGUUGUUAGGUUAGGGUAGUUAGUCAAUGGCACAAAGAUGUUAUCUUAAAAGUUGUGGAGGAGAGGAGAGGAGAGGAGAGAGUCAGAAAAAAGAAUGAACCUAUCAGAAGAAAGUAAGAAACAUCAAACUAUAAUCUUAUUAACAUGGAACGAUAAUCAUGAUAAAGCCACACAACAAGGGUUUCACAAGGACACACAGAGAGACCCAGGAAACAAGACACAAACUCAUCCAACAUAGCUCAGACAUAGAAAUUAUUUAGCAUAGUUGCUCACUGGCAAUUGUAAAUCUAAUUACACAACAAGCACACAUGCAUGCGUCUAGAAAAGAUGGUGAUGCUUCUUUCCAUGAGCCUCUUCAUCUUCUUCCUUGGCUUCUUUCUUCUCGUGAUGCUCGUGGAACGCGAACCCGCCAGCUCCCACUGCAGCAGCCGCGGCAAUCUCUUCUUCUAUCUUGUGCUUGUGGGCAUGCUCAGGGUCUUUCUCCGACUUGUGCUUCUCAUGCUAUAAUUCAAGCAUCAUCAAGACGAUAAGAAAUAGUUCCUUUGUAUAAAAUUAAUUAAAACAAAAAUAUUUUCAAACUUCAUGACACACGGGGCAUUACCAAGGCGUAAGCGCCAGCAGCAGCGACGCCGAGCUCGCCGAGGUGCUCGAGAUGCUUGUGGUGCUUCUCCUCCUUCCUGUAGUCAGGGCCUGGGUCAUCUGCUAACACUUCGGUGGUUUCGGCAGCGUAGCCGCUGACACCAUCGGUAGCAUAGCUGGUGUCGGAGUAGGUGGUGUCGGAGUAGGGAACGGCGUCGUCAACAGGCUUGUCCUUGUGGUGGAAGAGGUGGUGGUGAUGCUUCUCCUCCGACAUGGUGGUGGUGAUCAAAUUAGCUGCAGAAACGAGAGAGGAAGAUGGUUUGUGAACUGUGAAGGUGUGAUGUGGGAGAGUGCAGUGGUGGGUGGUGGGGUAUUUAUAAAUGCUGGUUGCGAAGGUGUCCAAAGAUCGUGGGAGAGAUGAAUGGGUAUUGGGAAUGGCCCGAAUGGGUGGGGCCUCACCAUUCACCAUUCUUAUCUACAUUUUUCAAAUCUCGAUGGCUCCUACUCUGUCGAUACUUUGUUUUUGUGUCGGCAAUUUCAUUGGAUCUUUAACCACGACAUUUUUUAACCACAUUUUUAGAUUUCCGUGAUAUUAUCAUAAUUGUUUUUGUUAGUCAUUCGUUGGAUUUAUUUCAAAAGUAGGAAAAUGUUUGAAAAAUAUACAUCAUCAUUUGCGUCUUUGAUCCACUCUCAAUAGGAAAUAAAUAAAUAAGAAAAGAAAACCACAAAGUCUCAGGUAGCAAAGAGUCCAUAUCAAAGUAUCAAACCUUUUUAUCGAUGAAUAUUUUUAGGAAGAACAAUCUAUUAUUUGUAAAAUAAUUUUUAUAUAUUGAGUGAUAACCCUUCAAUUCGAUAUCGUUAGAUCAUUAAGGUCGGCUUUUGUCCCUAUUCGACGGGUGGAUCUUGUAGUCAAACUCCCUUUUACCUUUGCACUCAAGGUCCAUCUUUGUUUUGCUUGAGAAAACCUUUGUUAAUUUCCAUUACCUUUUGAGAGACUUACGCUCUAUAAAAAUUAUUUAUCUAUUCCUUGACGAGGAAAUUCAAAUUCUUUUACUUAAAUUUAUUUUAUAAAACAUUAAAAAAGGUUAAAUAUAAUAAAAUUAUUAAAAAUUUGAAUUUAAGAAAUCAUUUAUUUUUUAAAUUUUGACAUGAACAUAUAUGGGUAAAAAACAAAAAGAGACAAAAACAAAAUAUGUUUUUUUGUGCAGUAAUCAAUUAAAAAAUCACUUUCAAUUUAAUAAAAGAUGUAAUUUUUAAUAUUAAAGCUUAGAGAAAAAAGAAUUGACUUGAUUGGAAUGAAUUACAAAAAUCACACCCCAAUGAAGAGGAACCCCAUACAGCACCUCCUUUCCUUUUCAUAAAGCAAAGACCUUUCAUCAGUAGGCAUGUGAAGGAGGGAAAUGAACUUGGCAGAUUCCACCUUAAAGUGCUAAAACAUGGCACUUGCCCCUCUUUCUAAUCAAACUUAACCCCACCUACAUUAUCUACAUUAUUUAUUGUACAUUAUCUUUCUCCAACUAAUACUAGUAUUUCACAUCUCACAAUUUUUUUAUUCUAUUGGAUGUGAGUCUAUUAUUGCAGUUAGGUCAGCUAAUCAGGAUCCCAUGGAUAAGGUGCCACAUAUUAAUAUUUUAGCCUUUUAGGUGUUGCUAUUCAUCCUCCUUUAUGACUUGGGCUCCAUUUCUUUGCUUGAACCUCACUUUUAGGGUAAUUUCUUUUCUUGGACUAUUAGUUUAUUUGUUGCACAUAAAAAGGCCACUUUAAUGGCCGUCAAACUUUGAUAAAAUAUGUCUUAUUUUGUACUUUAAGGUGGUGUUUAUUUUUUAAUUGAAUAAAAAAAAAAUAAAAAUAUUUGAUUUUUUCUAUUUAAUUAAAAGUAAUUUGUUGAGAUCGUUCAAUGUAACUAAAAUGAACUUGUUAUCAAUAAAUUUACUUUAGUUAUGUUAGACAAUAUUAAUAGGUUACUUUUAAUUGAAUAGAAAUAAAAGUCAUUUUAAUUAUAUUGGACAAUAUUAACAAGUUAUUUUUAGUUGAAUAGAAAAAACUAAAUAUUUUAAUUUUUUUUAUUCAGUCAAAAAACAAACAUCACCUAUAAAAAUUGAUAACUUUUAUAUAUUUGUACUAUGGUAGAUGGGCUUGGCCCACUUGGGCGUAGGGUAGAUAUUUGAAUUUUGAACAGAAAAAAAAAAAAGGGAAAAAAGGAAAAAAGGAAAGGGGAAAGAGAAGGAGAAGAUAAAUCAAUAAAUCAUAAAAGCAGGAAGGAGAGGUGGAAAAUGGUCCUCUGGUCUGGACCAGGAGAAAGUGGCCGGUGAUGGGGCCCAUUGGGUCUGUGUCGGCAAGGCCCCAUUUAUUUCGGCAUCAAUAUACCUGCCUGAUUGGUUCCAUGCCUGCCAUAUGUUUACGCUUUUGUCAAUUAUUAUAAAAAACAACUUCUUUGUCAAUAAACUCUUUAAUUUUUACUUCUCUAUCGUCUUUAAUGGGUGUGAAAAAAGUCAUACAUGCCUAUUGUAUUCUUCUCCUUUUUAGUAGGUAAAAACCUACAGGCUAUCCCUAAACUGAAUUUUAUAAUAUUUCAGAAAAUAUGAAAUUUAUUUUUAAUUAAUAAAAAUUUGGAUUAAAUAUCAAUCAUAAUUUCAUAACUGAUAUGGCCGGUGAUAAAGAACGAGUGAGUCACGCUAGGGCCACGGAUGUAUCACAUUCAUGGUGUGCCUGGGCUUAGUGGUUGAUGUGAAAUAGAUAUAGGUGUAGCGCAUAGUGUAAACGGGCCCAGGGAAAUUCAAAAUCGCGUUGCCACGUUCCAUAGAAAGGACAAGAAAUUAGAAGCUGGGAGUGGUCCACGUCUUCCAGGUAACCCCCACGCUGCUAACGAUUAUUCAAUGCCUUCCUACUCCAAAUCAAACCUAAUGUUCAACAUCGACAUGUCUCAUAUGACACAUCCUUAUAGAUGAAGUUGGUGAACUGUGGAGAAGAGAGAGUAAGGGCGUGUGAGCGGAGAUAAUUCACAAUUGAUUGGCAGGUUUCGGAUAUUUUCUUCGGCUUUGUCCUGGGUUUUUGGAAAGGUUUGAUUGGCCCGACCCAAUCCUACAACCCAUACUAAACCACACAAUCGAAUCCUACGAGAGACCAAACCCAACCUUAAAUCAAGUUCCUCAUUAUGGGCUUCAUAGCCCAACUUAGCACUCCAGCCCAUCCUAACAUUGGGAAAAAUAAAUUAAUGAAAAUUAAGACUAGAUAUGAAUAAUUUCUUUUAUUAUCUUAAACUGCUGAAAGGGAUUAGUUAUCCUACACAGCUUGAACAGAAAAAGAGCCCUCUAAAACUCACCUACUUGAGAUUUAAGGCAUAAAAAAGUCCUUACCUUAAUAAUUGUAAGAGAUCGUUGGAUCAAAUGAUUCAAAUCUGGGACUUGCUCACACAAUCAAUCCAUUUCAUGAGACGAAUUACCAGUGAGGCUCUCUUCACCAUCUACAAGAUUUCGGAUGUAGCGAGUCAAGUAAGAACUUGGACCAUAGCAAAUGCUUGAUAAAAACCCUCCAUACAGUAAGCAAUGGAUGCCAAGCUUAAACAGAUUUUUCCUCUCUUGGUUGGUGUCUCUCUGUGCUUCAUACCCACCAGUACUUUCUUCAUCCCAACUCGAAGAAUCCAUGGCAGUGCAGCCUGAAUGAGCCUGAAAACCCCAGAUCUUGGAAGUUUCCAUCUUUUGCAGCCAGUUGGAAUCAAUGGGAUCUUUAAAUUUUUUACAAAGAUGGUGUCCCUGGAUCAGAAAACUCCAAACUUUUGGUGUAAUACUUGAGACACAGUUAAGGAACUGCUUAGAUAUGUUCUCCAAUCCUCCAUUAUGAGCUUGACUCCCAAAAAAAUUGGCCUCGAAUUCAUCUGCUAGUGAGCACUCAUUGCAUUUAUGACUCUGAAGAGACGAAAGAUUUAGAACAGGCAACCUCCCUUUCACAAAGGAAUUCAAUAGUGAGCUUCUAGCAAGACUUAAAAGGGACUCCCCAGCAUUCAUCCAGAAGUUUGCAAUUGAUGCGAUCAAAGAAGAGUCAGAGAGGAAAAUACGGUGGGUUGCACCUGCAAGCAACAAGGAGUAUGCUGCACUGGUCUUGAUCAAGCUCAAGGCUUCCAGCUCAUCUCCGUCCAUUUCAGAAUGCAGAUCCAGUAAUUGACUAGCACGGACUCUGUAUGCAGAAGCCAGUGUUGUGUAGGCGGCCAAAGAGAGAUGGUGCAGGGGGUGCAACUUGAAAUUUGCUUGUGAUUUUCCCUCAAUUGGUUCUAACUGCUCAUCUGGAAGACCUUGAGCAAUAACAUUCUCAAGCUUCUCACAGCAAGCUUCAGGGUUGCCAACUGACAAAUAGUCAGCUAUAGCAUCAUCUACAUAAUCAGUCAACUUUCUGAUUUCCUCCUCUCUACACAUGUUAUCAUCUAUGUAAUUGAGACUAUGAGCCAAAGUUUCCUAUAGGGAAGAACAGAGAAAUGUCAAUCCUUGUUUUAUGACAGUACUAGAAUUCAGGCACUUCAAUUGCAGAUUAAAAAAUGCUUGUGAAGUUCAGACUUCAGAGUUGAUACAGAAAUAUUGUGAGUACUUCACCGUACAAAGUGGCCCCCGAAAAAUAACCAGAGUGGACAAGGGAAAGGAUAAAACAGGAUGAGAAAAGCUACUAUGAAUUACUCAAUAGCUUUUCCUAGUUCCAAUUGAUAUGGAGAAAAAGACUCCAACUGUCUGUCAGCCUUUUGAGAAGGAAAAAGCAGAUGUAACUAAGGGAGACAACUUGAAGAAACAAAAGAUAUGAAAGGCAAAGAAGAAAAUAAAUAGCACACAUACAGAUUCUGGAUGCAGCUCUAAUUGCAAAUGACGCAGCUGACUCAAGGGAGAGAAGCUCUAGGGCUGGUUUAGUUUGCAAGUUGGACAUAUGUACUUUGGUGUGCCCCUUUUGGCAUUUUAAUACAAUUUGCACUUACCUAUCAAAAAAAAAAAAAAGUUUGCAAUUUGGACAUAGAAAAGGCUUAUGACCAUGUUGAUUGGAAUUUUCUCCUCCCAGUAACGAAAAAGAUGGAGUUUGGUCUAAAAUCGAGAAAGUGGAUUCAUUUUUCCAUUGUAAGGAUGUCAAUCUUAGUCAAUGUUUCUCCUUCAGAUUUCUUUCAGACAUCUAGAGGAUUGUGGCAGGGUGAUCCUCUCUCACCCUAUCUCUUCAUGAUUGUCAUGGAAGCUCUACAUUGUAUACUCUCAAGGGCUGACUAGGGAGUGUUCAUUCAUGGCUUCAAGGUCAGGGGCAGAAGGGGUGAAGGUUUCCAAGUAUUCCAUCUCCUGUUUAAGGAUGAUAGAAAAAUUUGGAUCAACUAAGAUACUGGAGGUGGAUUGUAAUAGGCUUCAAGGUUGUGUUAGGUCUGAAAAUAAACCUGUAAAAAAGUAACUCAUUCUAAUGGGGAAAGUGGAGGAUGUGGUGAGAUCAUCAUCUUUGCUUGGGUGUAAGAUUGGAAGGCUUCCCACUUCUUAUCAUGGUUUGCCCUUUGGAGUGCUUCAUAAGUAUUGCGUUGUAUGGGAUGCUGUCAAGGAAAUGUUUGGUAAAAGAUUGGCUUCUUGGAAGGUGUGGUAUUUGUCAAAAAGAGGAAGAUUAGUUCUUUCAAAGAGCACUUUCUCAAGCUUAUCAAUCUAUUUUAUGGCCUUUUUUUCUAUUUCCAGGAAAGUGAGGAUCAAAUCAUAAAGGAUUCAGAGAGACUUUUUGUAAGGAAAUCUUUGGUAAACCAAUAAGAUGCAUUNNNNNNNNNNNNNNNNNNNNNNNNNNNNNNNNNNNNNNNNNNNNNNNNNNNNNNNNNNNNNNNNNNNNNNNNNNNNNNNNNNNNNNNNNNNNNNNNNNNNAGGAAGAACAUCCAAAGAAAGUGCAGGGAACUGGUCAAGGGGUGGAACAUUUGUGAGGUGAGGGAGACUUCUGGUAUAAGCCUAUGGAAAGACUUAAGAAAAGGUUGGGAGGAAUUCAACCACAGGAUAGCUAUCCAAAUUAAAAAUGGUAGCCAGACAAAAUUUUAGAGGGAUGGGUGGGUGGGUGGGGGGGAACUGUUUGAAAGAAGCAUUUCCUCUAUUGUUUAGUCUAGCUUCUCAAAAGAAUGCCAUUGUUGCAAACAUGUGGGAUGGGAGAGGUAGUGGAGGCCAGUGGGUGCAUUUCAAAAGGCCAUUCCAAGAUUGGGAAAUGGAGGGGGUGUCCUAAUUUUUAGAACUUAUUUAUUCAUACAGCAAAAGUGCAAGAAGAAGGGAAAGAUAUCUUAGUUUGGAAGGAGGAUAGGAAGAGAAUCUUCAGUACUAAGUUGUACUACAGUUCAUUGUGUGCCGAAUUUAGAGUGGACUUCCCAACCAAAGAAAUUUGGGGGCUCCCAAGCUCUUACGAGAUCAUGUUUUCUCACUUGGGAAACAGUAUGGGAGAAGAUCUCAACCAUAGAUUUGUUAAUGAAGAGGGAUGGACAAUGUUAAUAGAUAUAGUCUUUGCAAAGAGAGUGAUGAGUCUGCUGAUCAAAUUUUCAUUCACUGUGCAAUGACAAAGGUAUUAUAGAUGUUUGUUUUAUCAAUUUUUAGUUAGAAAUAAGUUUCUAGCUACAGUGAGGAAUAUGCUUCUCAAGUGGAAGUUUUUAAGGUAUUGGACAAGAAGAGUCACCAUCUUUGACAAAUGACACCCCUCUGCUUAUUCUGGUGUAUAUGGAAAGAGGGAAACCAUAAAAUCUUUAAUGGGGAAGAGCUUGCAUAUUAGAGAUUAAAAGAGAGCUUUAUUAAAUCCCUCUUUGAUUGGUCCAAAGUUCUGUUAGAAAUGGGCAAUUCUGAAUGAUGGCUUUCGUAAAUGGUCUUAGUUGUGGAUAGUUUGGUUUUGAGUUGAGGUUGUUUUUUUAUUCGUUGUUUUGUUUUUUUUGUGUUUACUCCCAGUAUAUGUAAGGUAUGCCCCCUUUCAUUGGCAUGCUCUUUUAAUAUAUUAUCCUUUUGCUUAUCAAAAGAAAAAAAGAAAAAAGAAAAAAGAAAAAUAAAGAGAACACAUAAAUCAGGGGAAGGAUGAAGGAAUUAAACCAAUAGGAAUGAGAAACAGUUGGGUAUAUUUUUUCGACAGAUACUUCAUGCAGCAGGGGCAAGAUGGGGGAAAACCUUACCACUCCUGGUGCCAUAAAUGUGGCAUAUAUGCAUCGUGUUCUAACUCCACACCUAGUACUAUAAUUUUCACAGAAGACGAUCACCCUUCCCCACCCAGCAAAUCUAAAAUCAAGUUGCAAAAUGAAUCUUCUAGACUGCUUUCGGAUUUCUCCUAAACAUCAAAAUAAACAAAUGAUAGGCAUACUGUUCCAUAGAAGUCUUACUUGCAAAACAAGAUCCACAUAAGUAGGGGGCGAUGCAUUACAACGGUUACAGCAACAGGAAAACCAAUACUUCACCCAUAACUCUGCAUGUCUAAUUUCCUGGAAAAUCAAAUCAGUGCAAAUAAAAGCGUAUAACGUGAACUCAAAAAACUAAAAAAAAAACAGAGUAUAGAAGGAUGAGUUGGAACACAUUUUAGCACAAUGCCACUGAGUUCACUUACACUAUGGUGAUUAUGCAAGUAAUAUAAAAUCAUGCAACUUCUCAUUAGGUCGACUCCUUGUCAUUUUUCGCAAUCACUUCAAACAUAAGGCACAAUGCAAUAAUCUAAAAGCUUAAAAGUAAUAGCAGAUAUGCCAAAUUUACAAGCACAUUUUGCACAUUCAAUCUCUUAACAGUGGAACUGUAGAUACUGAAAAUGAAGAUUACCUUAGGCUGCAACAGGUCUAUGUAUGCAACCCACACCUCCUCACCCUUUUUAAUUGCCUUGAUGCUCCGAACGAUGAUUCUUGGCCCGUGUAUGUUGCAUCCUUUACUAGAGAAAAUCAAUUACAAGUAGAUAAUCAAAAUAUCCAAUAAAUUCACAACUGAUUUUUUUGAGAAACCAAAUUGAAAAAAACAUAAAAUAAUUAAAAUAAAAAAGAUUCAAUCACCUUCUAUUGAUUCACUUUUGCUACGAACAGCAUUCUGUAUCUGAAAAACAUUUCGGUUUCAUAAUUUUCAAAUCCUUUGAAUAUGGUUAAAAUUAAAGAAACAAUUCAGAAUUUAGGAAUAGUGAUCUAUUUUUCUUUACUUCAAUUUCAUCAUUGCCUCCAGGGAUAAUCUGGAGCCUCGACUCGCCAGAAAACUGGGGCGUCUCAGGUGAACGGAGCAAGAAACGGUAACAAGCAUUGGGAGAACAGCUGUGAUUGAUCCAAGAGAAGCACCAAUCGUAGACGGCUAUCCCUAGGGCGGACCCUCCAUUAACCUGCACUUCAACUGCAUUGGUGAGGACCAGGCAGAGCAGGGCCUCCUCCAGUUUGGAGUCCCCGGAGAAUUCCGUACCAUCUCGCAUACAUCGGGCAACGGCCAUGGCCUUGCCGCCGUCUCGGAUUCUCGUCAGAGUCUCAUCACUUUCCGAGUUGUGGGAGGGUGAGAUGAGGUGGUGGAGGUUGGUGAGUAGGCCGCAGAUUCGAUGGAGCGGUUGGGUAUGGAGGGGAGGGAGGUGGAGGAUGUGGAGGAGGCGGAGGGCAGCACGGAGGUCGGAGGAGUGAGCGGUGGAGGGGUGGGAAUGGCGGAGGAGGAGGAAGAGGUGGUGCUCGGCGCUGGAGAAGUGGAGGGGGGAGUCGGAGGCGGAGCAUGGUGGAGAGCAGUAGCAGAGAAAGGAGGAACUAGGGUUGGUAUUGACGAGAACAGUGGGCGGUAGAGGUGAGAAACAGGCGGAGCAGUGAGAGCGAAGGUGAGAGUCGUGGAGAGAGGAGGCUAGGGGUGGGAGUGGAUGGGUCAGGUCUAACCCCAUUUCUGUGUCCUCUCUCAUUCUCAUCUCCAUUCUUUACCAUACGGAUUGCAGGCAUUCUCAAUUCUAGUUCUUAAUACUGCUGCUCCCUUCUCCCCCUUCCUAAACCAUCCAUUUAGGAAAGCAGAAAUAUAACCACAGUUUAUUUACUUAUUUAUGAUGUUUCUAAUACACAACACCUGCAAAAAUUAAUGACAAAAUCUGUCCCAAUGGAAGGUAGACAAGAGCACAGACAUCUGAGCACAUAUUUACCAGCCUUAUCAUAUCAACAAACAAUAGUUGAAAUGCCAUUCUUCCUGAGAGUUUGGCCCCUUGAUCAAGACUGCCAUGAAGCAAACCCAUAAUUCAUUAGAGGAGGAUACCAUGUUUACUCUCAUUGGCAGUGGGCGGACCUGGGAAUGAGUCAAGUGACAGAACUCUGAAAACUUGCCUUGAGGAAAUCCCUCAACAAAUCCAAACAUUACUGGGUUGCCUUCAUAAUAAUUAUAAAGAAAACAAAUUCUUCCCAUUGAAUUUCCAGGACAAGUGCAACAGCUGUGCCAAUUUCCAACAGCUUAAACAAUUGAGUAAUCAAAAUUGUUUGUCUCUACAUCAACUGAUGGAGUCCACCGGACCAUGAUCAAAUUUCAUCAUAUUUUACAGAUAAAAUACCAGUUAUUUAGAAAAGCAUGGAUUGUGAUCUUCCUGUGCAGUUUUCCUUCAUCACAUCCCGUAUGCGACUUCAGUUGCUUCAUUACAUCAGUUUCUGAUUUCUAACUUGAACAACUGUAUUAACACCCAAAAGGAAAAAAAGGAACUAAGGGACUAUUUAACAGUUAAGACUAGAAGGGUUUUAGAAUUGAACUGGAAAGGGUUCAAAUAGAGGAAGAAGGAAGAAACUCACCAAAAGAACUAUUGUUUCACUUUUAGUGUGGUCUCAAUGCGCUGGAUGAGCUGAUCUGCAGUCAAAGCACCUUCCUGGAAUUCAUCAGACAGGAAUAGUAACAAAGAAAUUAGAACAUAAAAAAUAAAUAAACUAGUGGCAAUAUAACAACCAAAAGAAAAAUACAAUCAAAAGUACAGUGAAAACCAAGAUAAACAAUUGACUAAGGUGCCACUGUACAACCAGAGGCCCAACCAUGCAUUGUAUAAAUGCGGAAGAAAAUUCUGUAGACAUCAUCUCCUAUGCCAAGGAGAAAACCUUCAUUGGCUAAUCCCAUGAAAAAGUAUAAUUCAAUAGAGUCAAAGUGUGUGAAAACCAAGCCAGUGCUACAAGCAGGAAGCCUAAGAACUGAGUCAUUGCCAGUGUAAGCUUUGCCUGUAAGUAAAGAAGGCAGUUAACAAUCAUGUUACAGGGGCUGCCCAUUCACAGGCACGUGCAAGAUGAAAAUCAUGUGGGCAAUUCAUGACAAUUUCCCAAAAAGGUUUUUUUGUACAAGUGCAUACUAGAUACGAAUUCCACUUACAAAGCGAUCAUAUGGCUUCCCAUCUUUAAAUAUGAUGAAAGUAGGCAAUGCCUCUAUUCUGUACUUAUCAGCAAUGCUCGGGUAUUUCUCAGUAUCAAUUUUCACCACCUGGAUCUUGUCUUUCAGAGAAGCACCGACUUCGUUGAGGAUAGGAACCAUGAACUGACAAGGGCCACACCUGGAAACCAGUACUUCGUUACUUCUAGUUUUAUUUAGUUCCCUCAAUAUCUCAUAGAAAUAGAGACUCCUUAGAACAGCACACCCUCAAGGAAACACUUUAAUGAGGGACUGCCCUACUGAGUAGCAUGUCUUAUUGAUGGAAUAUAAUUUGGCUUAAAAACUCACAUUUUGCUGCCAAGACAGCUAAUUCAGGUUAUCAUCUAGCUUACAACAAAAUAACAAACCAUCUCAUAUCAUUUUCCUUCUAUUUAAAGAGCAAAGAAACGGUGGCAAGUAUGGGAUUUAUUUUAUUUCAUUUUUUUUUUUUAAAAAAAAAAAACUCACCAAGUUGCAUAGAAGUCUACCAGAACAGGUUUUUCAGAAUUUGCUAGCAAUUCAUCCAAGGAAGAAAAUGUUUGCUUCUUUGCUUCAACCUAAAGAAAUCACAACAAUGUGGAAGUUACCCAUUAAUUUAUAGACACAUUCAGAAUUUGGUAGUCCAACCAUGCUUAUCUAAAUAUGCCAAUAUAACAGAGUCAAUUAGGAAAAUGUCCCAAACUCCUAAGAUAUAAUAUUAACAUAAAAUGUUUGUUCAGAAUGCAGAGAAACAAAAACCAAGAUACCUGUAAUCUGACAUUACAAAAAAAUGAGUCAAUUUACUCUGAGUCAAUUUAAAUUGGAAUUUAUGAACAUUCCAAUAUACUUUACUCUGGGUAACAGGCAGUUAGUAAGCAUGUCAAAUCAAAUAUUUAAGCACCAGUUAGAUAUCUAGAUUACAACUUUUCAUGACUCUUUAACUUUGAAAUCAUAGCUUCCAACUUGGAAGGUUAACAGGCAAAGCAGUGCACAAUUAUAUGGUCACUAUGACACCUUGUUUCUAGAUUAACUACUAGUCUAUCAGAUGACAAUUGAGUGCUCGUAUGCAGCGAACAAUGGUAUAGAGCUAAAUAGCAGAUGAAGUACAUUAGCUGGUUUACAUUGUCAAAUUGGAAACUAUGGGUAUGUUUGGAAUUUGCUUUCAAAAACAGUUUUAUGUUUUUAAGAACAAAAAUAAAAUAAAAUAAAGGAAAACAUGUUUGACAAUCAGGAAACAAGAUGUUUUAUGAGAAUAUAUUUUAAUUGUUUUCAGUCGUUUUCACUUAAUUUUAAAUAUGUUUUAAAGGAUAAUCCUACAAAUAUGGAGAAUGAUUGAAAAUAAAGCACUACAACAAAAGUUAUUUUAAAAAACAUAGAAAUUAGGUUGACAACAUUUCAAGUUCCAAUGAAAUGUUUUCAAACAGACUUCCAUUCUAGAAAACAUUAAAAAACAAUUUUCAAAAACCAUUUUUCAAAACUGUUUUUGAAAACACUUCCAAAUAGAGUCUAUAUAACUCUAUUAUUUCCUUUUAUUUUUCUCUAUUAAGAAAACCAUGUGUUGUCUGUCUCUCAUUUACAUGACCUAACAUUUCUCCUCAACUCAAGCGUUCACACCCUCAAUUAAGCAACCCAAACGCACUUAAUCCCAAAGGUUGUGUUUGUGUUUGGCCCUCGCAACCAACAAAUGCAACGACAUGAAAAUGCUGAAAUUAACUUCAUUCUCACUAACCAAUCUUAAUUUUUCCAGGAAUGACUAUCCUCUAAACAAACAUAUGCGCAAUCAACAAGAAAAACGCACGAGAAAAUAAAAGGCGAAUCCUUGCAUCUAGCACAAAAUGUCUCCACCAACUGAUCCAACACACCACAACACAUUCCCAAAGCAGAAUAUACAAACACCGUUCACAAGAAUUCGGAAAAUUCCAAUAAAAAAAAUCCACAACAUUCUGAAUUUUAAUAAUAAUAAUAAUAAUCAUAAAAAAGGCACCGAAGCAAAACAAAUUACCACAGGAAGGGUUCGAGGCCUAGACGGGGAUGAAAUUCCGUUGUUGCCGAUUCGAAUAGGGCGGAGCUGCCUAGGAAACUGCAAGGGGGACGAUGAGAAGAGCUUGGAAGAAGGGGAGGAAGAAGAAAAGGCUAAAGGAGUGGGGCGUUGAGAAUUCAACGCACGAACUGUAGAGAAAGUGAGCGAGGUGGCCAUUGGAGAGAAACCCUAGAACCAGAUGUUUUGGAUAAAAAUGGAACUGGACCAGAAAAAUCUGCUGGGAAGGGAGGAGAAAAAGAAGUGCGGAGACGAAGAGAACAAGAAGAGAGAUGUUAAGGUGCGGAGGUAUAGUAGAAUAAUAAAUAGGAGGACCAGAUCCGCGGGUGUGGGAGUUUCACAGCUAUGAUCCGACGGCCAGCAUACAUUAUCACACUUGGAGAUCCCAGCAGCCAGAUGCGUGUACUCUCCAUUUUUUUAUUUUAUUUUCACGUGAACCCCAAGGGAAAAUGACUACUCCAAUAAUUUACAUUUUCUUUUACCAAAAAGAUUAAAAAUCGGAUUCAGUAUCCAGAAAGGAUAAAAGAUUUUAAAUAAUUCAAUAUAAAACAUAAUGAGAAAAUCUUUAUAGAAUCAAUCCAACCACGUUCUAGUAAGAAACACCAGUGGGGGCAAGAAGUGGAACUACCGGUAAGCCAACAAGAUCCUCUUCAAAUUCAUGCUACAUUUUAUUAGACCAAUGUCUAAGGCCAAAAAUGAAGACUACAUGUGAGGAAAACGGUUGAGUCUAAAUCCUACAAACUUAAGUUUUUUUAAAAAUCGAUUAUUCAAUGGAAUGAAGAUGUAAAUAAUAAAACAAUGAGACCGGACAUGGUAUAAAACAAUAGGAUCUAAAUGCAUGUAUGAUACGACCUGAUUGAUCAUGCUUUUUGAUAUCGAUUUGGUAAUGUAAGGGGACCUUUUUUAACAUUACGUGAGUUUGGUAAAGGAGGCUGACUUUAUGGGCUGGAUGAACACGUAUGACUGGAGAUGAGAGGAGCAGCAAUACAAUGUUGAUCAUCACUUUACGUAGGCUCCUGCAUGCCACAAUGUUGAUCGUCACUUUCCAGAACACUAAAACCAUUUCAGGGUUCAGAGAAAAUUCGUAAGAGUCCGCACUCAAAACAGCUCUCUUAACAAUAAACUUGAAACAUCAAAUAAUGUUAAAUUACAACGUGGAAGGUUGAUGUCGUGGCAGUAAGUUAUGGCCAAACCUCAUCCAUCACUAGUCAAUGUGAGUGCCAGAAAAACUACUGUAAGUGCAGAGAAUAUGGUUGCACAGGCAAAUACCCACAUCGCCCUGCUCCUCACCCUGCCACUACUAUGGCUUGCCGGGCUGCCCAUCUCGACCUCUUUUAGAAGCUCCCUCACCUCAUCCAUAUUUGAGUCUUUUGCAGCUUGGGUUAGUCUACCAUGAAUUUUAUCAAGCCUACUCAGCCUUUUACUUCGGGAUGCAUCCUUGGCUGACCAGAUAAAACCCGUCAUCUUCCACAGAAGAAUGCCCACAUAGAUGGCCACAACACAGUCCACAGUGUAAUGGUGGCGUUCCCGUAUUUCCCUUUGGGCACUGUGCAAUACAAACAGCCAUAUGACAGCCGAGCUGAAACCUCCAUAAGCUUCCUGCAAACAUUUUUUUUGACACAGAGAAAGACACAAAAUUUAGUAUUAUGCAUUUUAAGCCUCAGUGCUACUGAUCAAUAAAUGUCAAGAGGAGGGAUUGCAAGUGUUUAAUAAAUAUACCGUCCAAGCCAUAGCAGUCAGUACUGCUACAAGAAUGUGGCCACUGUAUAUGAGGUCAUUGCAUCCUCCUCCAGCUUUCUUUAGCAGAUUGUACCAUGACCCGUCAGUAGUAGUUGGUCGCAGGAAGUCUAUAAGGAAGCUCAUUGAACCCCAAUCAGGACGAAAGUCACCAAGGUAAUUUCCAACAUCAGCUGAGAAAGAGGAAGAGAAUUAUUAAACCCACCUCCCUGUAAAACAGGAACCCAUCUGUAGUAGUUCUUAGGGUAGAUCUAAUAAUGGAGAACAUAGAACUCAUGAAGGUUACAGAAUUUAACCCUUUUUCCAACAUUGAAAACUAAAGAAAACUCUCUCAGGGCUUCUGUACAUGUCAACAAUGAAUUUAGAUUUCCAGGAGAUUGGAUGUUGAUUGAAUUGAAGAUUCACUAAAAUCUUGUAAGCACCUUAGUUAUUCCAAACCCAAUAGGCAAGUAGAAGAUGCGAACCUAAGAAUUAAUAGGACUUAUAAAGAAAUUUCAUAGAGAAAAUUGAGAUGAAACAGUGAAUCUGGACAAUAUGAUUUUUGCCAUGGGUACUCUAGCAGUAAUCAAGCGAAUAUAGAGCUUAAAAUCCCUUUUUCUCGCCUCAAGGCUCCACUACAAAACCCCUUCAAAUGCAUUAAACCCAUAAAAUGAGAGGAAAUUAGUUGGGUACAAAACACAUACCAUAGGCUAUAUCACGUUCUAUUACUUGACGAAUAGCAGCUGGAUCCGAAGCAUAAGGGACAUAAUAUUUUUGAGCCCAAUGAUGUGGGUGUGCAGGAACUCUGAAGCGGGCAAAAGCACACCAAGGCCGGGCCGAUGGCAGAAUUGUAGAUACAAAAGUUAUGGCCCGAAGAAAUCGCCCUAUUGCCAUGGUGAACAUGUACCUAGCACCUAGCCCAAGGCCAGGAGCUUUUACAGAGUCGAAUAAUACUGAGAAAGCCAGCAUCAUGAACAGCAUCAAAAAAUGGUGCAAUCCAAUAAUAUGCGCUCUAAGUAUCUCAACCACCGUAGGAGGAAGUUUCUCAUUCAACGCCAGGAGAAACCACUGGCCAGUGUCAGGAAGGGGAGGAGUAUCACUGCCAGACAUGAAUAAGCCAAUUGAUUGUCUCAUUGCUCAACAUACAGUAAACACAAAGUUGAACUAGUGUUGAAAGAUUAUGAUAUUAUCUUGGUAGAAAUAUUCCUGAAAAUGGACUCAGCUGUUGAUAAAUAUCCAUGAAGCAUUCUGGAGGAUCAGAUCCACUAACAGAAACUAUCACGUCUAAUAGAUGUUUUCUGAUCCAGUUGCAAUGAGUUGAUAGCAUUUUCAGGUUAUAUCAAAUGAUUCUUUAAAGAAGAAAUUGCAGCAUCUGCAAUAAUUAAAUCUCUGUCUCUCUAUAGGGAUUUUCAGAUUCAGCUUGAAUAAUGAUCCUGAAAAAGAGGAAUCAUUGCAUCUGUAUGUAUUUAAAUCUCUCAGUCUCCUGAGAUGUUUUCAUAUCUAGUUCAAAUGACGCGUGACUUUAUUUUCAUGUUAUAUCAAAUAAUACUUUAAAAAAGGACCUUUUUUAUGGGCAAAAAGUGAUAUUAUCAACAGCGCAUAAUCAGAAGAGGGCACACCAAAGCUUCAAAAAAGGACUUGUUGCAUCCUAUGUAUUUAAAUCUCUCUUUCUGUGAGUGCGUGCAUCAACAUAUAAAGCAUUACCUAUGUUAAGGAAUCAACAUGAUACGAAUAAAAGUGUCCUUGUUAGGGAUGUUUGAAUAUAAUAACACUUAUGUACAUACAGCACAGUUAUAAAUUCUCUCCUUCUCUCUCUGUGUGUAUGUGAAAAUUUUCAAUCUUACCUACAUGCAACCUGACACCAAUACAAGUAUCCUCAUUGCUGAGUGGUUUGCAUAUGAUAAGAACAUUUAUGUGUGUGUAUAUAGUUAAGGGUUGGGCCCCAAUUUUAAUGAUGAUUUUUAGCAAGAAGACUUGAAAAUCAAUUUGAAACCCUUAGUUAGUGUAAUCGGUAGUCUUUUUGCAUAUAAGCAAAGUGAGGGCAUACUAUAUAAGAAUGAAAGACCUUACUUUAACUUAGGAGACCACAUUGAACCUUAAUUUUUACAUGAAAAUCUCUAAAGGUUUUCUAAAAAGUUUAGUGACUUAACUGACAUUUUUCUGUACUUGAAAAAUACUCAAAAGCAUUGGUUAAAAUAUUUUAACAGUUUUCUAAUGUCUUAAAGUCCCUUAAAGGAUGGUUAAAGCCCUCGAUAAGAGUUAUCGGAGCAUCAAAAUGCAAUGGGGUAUGUAUGUGGUCAUCUAGGCGAUCGUCCAUAUGUGCUUUUUACCAUGCUGAUGUCCGGUUCUAGGGGACUUUUGUGUUUAAUAGGUAGUUUGAUUUCAAAAAGGAAUAAAUGCAUUGCCUUAGACACAUAUAACAUAGGCCUAACAAAUGCAAAUCAUUACUAUUCCAUUGAAACCUUUCUUUAAGACAUUCAAGUAUGCUUUAAACUUAUACUUGCUAACCCUCAUUUAAGAUGCUUAAACUUGAACAUUAAAUUACCUAUCUACUCUUUGUUAGAGUGUUCAUUGUAUUUUUUCUUUCAAUUGCAAUUUAGUGAGAUUGUAAGAAAUGUGUAUGAAUAACAUCUUGAAGUUAUAAAGAACCUGAUGGCCUCCUAUACGUAAUGUGUAUACUAGAAAGGGGAAGAGGAGUGUACUGCCACCUGGCAGCUAGUUGUAAUAGUCUUAGUACAGGUUGGAAGGAGUGUACUGCCAGGUGCAAUUAGCCAUAACGGUCUUAGUACAGGCUGGAAUAACUUUAGGAAAAAGAUGGAAUUUGUGGAGCAGCUGGCUGUUGUGUGAGUCUGGUGGGAGAGUGAUAGCCUCUCGAAUAGCCAUCUUUGUAUCUGUUUGGCCCUUUUCUUGAAAUUUUGGAAAUUCAAUAAUAUUGCUAGUAAUUUUUUCUUCAUUAGAUACCUAUCAAUUUGGUAUCAGAGCAUUGAUCCAGAUGACUCAGAAGAAGAAUGAUGGCCGGGUGGAUUCUCUGGAGAAGGAAGUUGGAGAAAUCAAAGAGGAGAUGCAGCGCCUACUGGGAAUGGAAAAGACCGUGAUGGACCUUGCCUAGAACAUGAUGUGAGUUCUGCAGUUGCUGAAAUUGACACAGAAGGCAGUGGGGGUGUUGUCAUCAGGGCGGGUCACGACGAUUCCUCAUUGUGAGGGAGGCAGGGUGGAUCGAUGCAUGGGAGUAUGAUUGCUACUCAAUGAGAAGACCAUGCGGAAUGGAUCCCUGGAGUUGGGGAAACCAAUGGGGGGUUGGAUAGUGAUGGAUGAGAUGAGGCGAGGCAGAAACGGGGAAUGGCAUGGAGAUGGCACUUGGAGAUGCCUGUGUUUAUGGGAGACAACCCGAACGACUCGAUCUUUCGAGGUAAUCAAUACUUCAUAAUGAAUGGACUCACGAAAGAGGAGAAAUUAGUUGCCCCUACGAUGAGUCUUGAUGGGGACACACUUUCUUGGUACCAGUGGAUUGAUUCGAGAGAGGCAUUUGGGAGCUGGGAAAAUUUGAAGAGGCGACUGCUGCUCCGCUUUCGUCUGACUCAAGAAGGGAGCCUUUGUGAGCAGUUUCUUGCAGUGCGUCAGGAAGGGAUAGUGGCGGCUUACUAGCAGGAGUUUGAGAUUCUAGUUGCUCCCUUGAAGGGGAUUUCUGAGGAGGUAAUAGAAAGCACAUUUGUGAGCGGACUGCUUCUUGAGAUUUGGGUUGAGAUACAUUUUCUGCAACCAUGUGGGCUAGGCCACUUGAUGGAAAUGGCUCAACAGGUCGAAGACAGAAAUUUAAUCUUGUGGGCGGCCCAUGAACCAAGGGACCCAAAGAACACCAAAAUAUUGUCGUUCGCAAAUCGGGGGGAUUGGAAGACUAGGGAAACUUUUCAAACUAGGGCAAUGACUACUAGUGAUGUGAGAUUCUGAGUCUCUGACAAAGAGAUUGACGGAGUAUGAGCUCCAAGCCCGUAGAGAGAAGGGACUUUGUUUUUAGUGUGAUGAGAAGUUCUCACUUGGCCAUCGUUGUAAGAAGGAAUUAAGGGUUUUGCUGGUGCACGAAGAUGAGGAGGAGGAUAAUCAGUUUGAUGGUGAAGCAACUGUGGAACCUCCACUGAUUGAGCUGAAAGAUGUUGUGAAGUUAUCUCUAAAUUCUGUGGUCAGUUUAACAACAUCGGGGACUAUGAAAAUCAAGGGGACGAUCAAGCUGAAUGAGGUAAUCAAUCUUGUGGACGGUGGGGCUACCCACAAUUUUUACCCCUUGAUUUAGUUCAAUGAUUAGCACUUCCAUUAACUACAACAACCAAUUACGAGGUGGUGAUGGGAAUUGGGAUAUCCGUGAAAGAGAAGGGCAUUUGUAGGGGAGUUUGUAUUUCGAUGCAGGGGCUCACUGUAGUGUAAGAUUUUCUUCCACUUGAAUUAGGCAACACUGAUGUAAUUUUGGGAAUGCCUUGGUUGGGGACUUUAGGAUACAUGGAGGUAAAUUGGAAGAUGCUAAUGAUGAAGAUCAAAAUGGGGAAGUGGUGAUAUUGUUAAAGGGAGACCCAAGCCUCAGUAAGACCAAGGUGUCUCUUAAGGCAAUGGCUAGAGCAUUGCAGCACCGUGGCUAGAGGGUGUGGGUGGAACUCUAUCAAAUUUCCACCGAUUCAAGUUCAAGUGAAGGAGUAUAGGAGGUCCCAAAAGCAGUCAAAGAAGGACUAGCUCAACAUCAACAAGUCUUUGGGCAAAUGACGGAGUUACCACCGAAUCGUAAUAUUGACCAUGCCAUCCGAUUGAUUUUGAGAGCGCCACCAGUUAAUGUUCGUACCUAUCGAUACCCACAUAUUCUAAAGAAUAAAAUAGAGAGAUUGGUACAAGACAUGAUUGAGGCAGGAAUUAUUUGGCCUAGCUUAAGUCCAUUUUCUAGUCCAAUGUUGCUGGUUAAAAAAAAAAAGAUGGAGGAUGGAGGUUUUGCAUAGAUUAUUGUGCACUCAACAAAGUUACAAUUCUGGAUCGGUUCCUUAUUCCAGUAAUCAAUGAGUUACUUGACGAACUUCAUGGCAUAACCAUUUUUUCCAAGCUAUACCUCAAAUAUGAUUACCACCAUAUUUGAGUUCGAUAACAAGAUAUCCAUAAAACAGCGUUCCGCAUCCAUGAAGGUCACUACGAGUUCUUGGUGAUGCUUUUUGGGCUAACCAAUGCAUUGACGACCUUCCAAUCGUUAAUGAACCGUAUAUUUCGACUACAUCUUUGGAAAUUCGUGCUUGUAUUUUUUUAUGACGUACUAAUUUAUAGCAAGGACUUGAAGGAGCAUUGUGAUCACUUGCAAAGGGUGUUGUUCAUUCUGGCUAACCACUAGUUGCACGCCAAUGAGAAGAAGUGUCUCUUUGCUAAACCGCAGCUAGAAUACUUGGGUCGUUUGGUUUCUACUGAGGGGGUUGCUGUUGACCCCAACAAGUUUCAACCAUGAUAGAGUGACCCACACCCAAAUCCCUCAAAGAAUUGCGAGGGUUUCUUGAAUUGACCAGGUACUACCGUCAAUUUGUCAAGGGAUAUGGAGAUAUUUCUUGGCCCCUCAGUUAGCAACUCAAAAAGGAUGCUUUUAAUUGGAACCCAGAGGUUGAGAUUGCCUUCCAAAAGUUGAAAACAGUUAUGACAACAGUUCCUAUUUAGGCCUUGCCCGAUUUCACUCAGCUCUUCAUUGUGGAGACGGAUGUCUCGAGGUAUGGUUUAGGCGCUAUUUUGAUGUAAGGUCAAUGACCGAUGGCUUAUUUUAGCCAAGUCCUCUCGGUAAGGGUGUGACAAAAGUCCAUAUAUGAAAGGGAGUUAAUGACUAUUGUCUUAGCAGUUUAGAAGUGGCGUCACUACUUGCUUGGUCACCACUUUAUUGUGCGAACGGACCAAAGUAGUUUGAAGUUUUUGUAGAGCAAAGGGUGGUGAAUGAGUCGUACCAAAAGUGGGUCACAAAGUUGUUCGAGUACAAUUUUGAAAUUCAGUUUCGGCCUAGAUUGGAGAAUAAGGCAGCUGACGCCCUAUCUCGCAUCCCCAUAUCUAUUGAGUUAGGUACCCUCAUGGUUCCCAAUCGCUUGGACACUUCGGUGGUUUAUUCACAGGUUGAAGCUAACCCUCACCUUGCUAAGAUUUGACUAGGGUUGUUGGUUAAUCUAGAUGCUUAUCCUUGAUAUUCUUUGGACCAUGGCCUUCUUGUCUACAAGGGGUGCCUAGUUCUUCCCAAGGCCUCACCCCUUAUUUUGACACUUCUUCAAGAGGGCAUGCUAGCGUGGUUGGAGGUCAUUCUGGGUUCUUGCGGACUUACAAAUGGCUCACAUGGGACUUUUUUUGGGUUGGCAUGAAGAAUGACAUCAAAGGGUUUGUGGAAAAGUGUUCAAUGUGUCAACAAAAUAAAGUCUUUACUUUGUCACUGGUUGGGUUAAUAAAAACCAUUGCCUACUCCAGAAAAAAUAUGGGUUGAUGUGAUGAUGGACUUUAUUGAGGGGCUCCCUAAGUCAAAGGGUUAUGAUUCCAUCUUAGUUAUUGUUAGAUUGAGCAAUUAUGCUCACUUCUCCUUGCUUAAGCAUCCUUUCACAGCCUAAAUGGUGGUUGCUGUUUUUGUUUGUGAUAUUGUCAAAUUGCAUGGAAUUCCCUAUUCCAUUAUUCCGAUCAUGACAAAGUAUUUCCUAGUCGAUUUUGGAUGGACCUAUUCCGAUUGCAAGGUACCUCCUCUGUCGUGGUACUGCUUACAUCCUCAAAUAGAUGGAUAAACGGAGGUGGUCAACUGUUGUGUGAAGGCAUACCUUUGAUGCUUUUCAUAUGACAAGCCUCGAUGUUAGUCUACAUGGCUUCCGUGGGCGGAGUACUAGUAUCAUAACAUGUUCCACGCAUCCACUAAUAUGACAUUGUUUUGAGCGAUUUAUGAGUAGGAAGCCCCAUCAUUGCUACGUUAUGGAUCAGAUUCUACAUUUGUUUUGCCAGUGGAUCAGUUGCAGUAAGAGCAUGAUCGAAUUUUAAAUGAACUGAAGGACCAUCUCAGUUGUGCCCAGUCCAAAAUGAAGUCAUCUGCAAUGUCCAUCGUCGUGCAAUGCAAUUUGAAGUUGGGGAUUUUGUCUAUCUCAAUCUUCGUCAUUACCGUCUUCGUUCCCUUGCAAGGCGACCCAAUGAAAAGCUCUCUCCAUGGUAUUUUAGCCCUUACAAGGUGGUGCAGCAAAUUGGUCUAGUGGUGUACAAGUUAGAGCUCCCUUCUUCCACAACUAUUCAUCC